AGCAUGUCUGUUCAAUCAACUCUAGUCGAAACGGGUCGAAACAAGUAGAAAUGGAUUGACAGUUGAUCACCUGUCUCUUUCCAAUUGACUUCGACCGAUUUCUACCAAGUCGAAACUAAUCCUGCUGCCGAGCUGGAUUGGUUUCGACUAGUUUCAACUCGCUCCAUUGAACAACGACCCGACUUGUUUCGACCAAAACAUUGGCUCGUUGAACAUCUAUCAGUUGACAGAAACCAGUUGAAACCGAUUUUUACUAGCGAUUGAACGAAGCUAGCAAGUUGGUGAAAAAUGGCGACCGAUCUGGAUGUGAGAUUGCUAAGCGAAAACCAUCAAAAUCCAGUGGCAUCAACGAUAGUACCGCCAGGAACCAUCUCUGAUAGUGAAACGCAACCAAAAAUGGAAACUGACCAUGGGUUUCAACAAAAUUCUUCAACAGCUCCAAAAAAAACCCUGGAUAGGAGAUAACGUCUACGAUAGGAGAAUAAAAAAAACCUAAUACGAACAUAUUCAUCGUGGAAAACAAUUUUUGAAGUAAGUAAUAAAUUGAAAUAAGAUUUAA